rnacentral:tRNA from 14 species
GUGCUCGAUCGCGCGGACGCGCGCGCGCUGCUCUCGCGCUUCGCCCGCAUGGCCGCCGAGCGCUUCGGCGCGCGCGCC